GUCUAUGGCCGUGCCACCCUGAACAAGCCCGAACCCUUCUGAUCUCGAAAGCUAAGCAGGGUCGGGGCUGGUUAGUACUUGGAUGGGAGACUACCUUGGAAGACCAGGUGCUGUAGGUG
rnacentral:rRNA from 1 species